AUUGAACGCUGGCGGCAGGCUUAACACAUGCAAGUCGAGCGGAGAUGAGGUGCUUGCACCUUAUCUUAGCGGCGGACGGGUGAGUAAUGCUUAGGAAUCUGCCUAUUAGUGGGGGACAACAUUCCGAAAGGAAUGCUAAUACCGCGUACGCCCUACGGGGGAAAGCAGGGGAUCUUCGGACCCUGCGCUAAUAGAUGAGCCUAAGUCGGAUUAGCUAGUUGGUGGGGUAAAGGCCUACCAAGGCGACGAUCUGUAGCGGGUCUGAGAGGAUGAUCCGCCACACUGGGACUGAGACACGGCCCAGACUCCUACGGGAGGCAGCAGUGGGGAAUAUUGGACAAUGGGCGGAAGCCUGAUCCAGCCAUGCCGCGUGUGUGAAGAAGGCCUUUUGGUUGUAAAGCACUUUAAGCGAGGAGGAGGCUACCUGGAUUAAUACUCUAGGAUAGUGGACGUUACUCGCAGAAUAAGCACCGGCUAACUCUGUGCCAGCCGCCGCCGUAAAAC
rnacentral:rRNA from 1 species